GACGAACGCUGGCGGCGUGCCUAAUACAUGCAAGUCGAGCGAAGUUUUUCUGGUGCUUGCACCGGAAAAACUUAGCGGCGAACGGGUGAGUAACACGUAAAGAACCUGCCCCAUAGACUGGGACAACUAUUGGAAACGAUAGCUAAUACCGGAUAACAGCAUUAACUGCAUGGUUGAUGUUUAAAAGUUGGUUUUGCUAACACUAUGAGAUGGCUUUGCGGUGCAUUAGCUAGUUGGUGGGGUAAAGGCCUACCAAGGCGACGAUGCAUAGCCGACCUGAGAGGGUGAUCGGCCACACUGGGACUGAGACACGGCCCAGACUCCUACGGGAGGCAGCAGUAGGGAAUCUUCCGCAAUGGGCGAAAGCCUGACGGAGCAACGCCGCGUGAGUGAAGAAGGAUUUCGGUUCGUAAAGCUCUGUUGUUAGGGAAGAAUGAUUGUGUAGUAACGAUACACAGUAGAGACGGUACCUAACCAGAAAGCCACGGCUAACUACGUG
rnacentral:rRNA from 1 species